rnacentral:misc_RNA from 1 species
GUGAGUCAUCGAAUCUUUGAACGCACAUUGCGCCUCCCCUCGCGGGAGGCAUGCCUGUCUGAGCGUCGUUCAAGCCGAUGGGCCCCUCGGGGUCCGUGUUGGGCCUCGCCCCCUGGAGGGCGUCGCCUCGAACGUAUAGGUCGAACGAGCGGACGUGAUCCAUUAGGACUGACCGUUCCGGGACCCUAAAUCUCAGACUUGACCUCAGAUCAGGUAGGGACACCGCCUGAACUUAAGCAUAUCAAUAAGCGGAGGA